rnacentral:rRNA from 1 species
AUUGAACGCUGGCGGCAGGCCUAACCCAUGCAAGUCGAACGAGUGGCGGACGGGUGAGUAAUGUCUGGGAAACUGCCCGAUGGAGGGGGAUAACUACUGGAAACGGUAGCUAAUACCGCAUACCAUCGGAUGUGCCCCGAUGGGAUUAGCUAGUAGGUGUGGUAACGGCUCACCUGGGCGACGAUCCCUAGCUGGUCUUCGAGGAUGACCGGCCACACUGGAACUGUGACACGGUCCAGACUCCUACGGGAGGCAGCAGUGGGGAAUAGUGCACAAUGGGCGCAAGCCUGAGGCAGCCAUGCCGCGGGUAUGAAGGAGGCCUUCGGGUUGUAAAGUACUUUCAGCGAGUAGGCGUUACUCGCAGAAUAAGCACCGGCUAACUCCGUGCCAGCAGCCGCGGUAAUAC